GUGGGGAAUAUUGGACAAUGGGCGCAAGCCUGAUCCAGCCAUGCCGCGUGUGUGAAGAAGGCCUUCGGGUUGUAAAGCACUUUCAGUGGGGAGGAAGGGCAGUGGGUUAAUACCUUGCUGUUUUGACGUUACCCACAGAAUAAGCACCGGCUAACUCCGUGCCAGCAGCCGCGGUAAUACGGAGGGUGCAAGCGUUAAUCGGAAUUACUGGGCGUAAAGCGCGCGCAGGCGGUUUGUUAAGUCGGAUGUGAAAUCCCCGGGCUCAACCUGGGAACUGCAUUCGAAACUGGCGAGCUAGAGUCUGGUAGAGGGGGGUGGAAUUNCCGGUGUAGCGGUGAAAUGCGUAGAUAUCGGNAGGAACACCGGUGGCGAAGGCGGCCCCCUGGACCAGAUACUGACGCUCAGGUGCGAAAGCGUGGGGAGCAAACAGGAUUAGAUACCC
rnacentral:rRNA from 1 species